UCCAGACUCCUACGGGAGGCAGCAGUGGGGGAUAUUGCACAAUGGGGGCAACCCUGAUGCAGCGACGCCGCGUGAGCGAUGGAGUACUUCGGUAUGUAAAGCUCUGUCAGCAGGGAAGAAAAUGACGGUACCUGAAGAAGAAGCCCCGGCUAACUACGUGCCAGCAGCCGCGGUAAUACGUAGGGGGCAAGCGUUAUCCGGAUUUACUGGGUGUAAAGGGGGCGCAGACGGCGAUGCAAGCCAGGAGUGAAAGCCCGGGGCCCAACCCCGGGACUGCUCUUGGAACUGCGUGGCUGGAGUGCAGGAGGGGCAGGCGGAAUUCCUGGUGUAGCGGUGAAAUGCGUAGAUAUCAGGAGGAACACCGGUGGCGAAGGCGGCCUGCUGGACUGCGACUGACGUUGAGGCCCGAAAGCGUGGGGAGCAAACAGGAUUAGAUACCCGAGUAAU
rnacentral:rRNA from 1 species